rnacentral:lncRNA from 1 species
UGGAUGUGCAAAAGGCCCUGGCCAAGGGCAGGGGAGCGUUUGUUUCAUCUCCCGCUUCGCCCUGGUUCCUGCGAACAUUGCUGGAGGUCAUCAAGAGCGAGGCCUGGACCGUGGACCUGAGCCGGGAGCUGAGCUGGCAGCUGGGCAGCUCUCCCCGCCUGUCCUGGGAGAAGUGGUUCCUGUACAAGGCUCUCAGCACGGCCCUGGCAGCUUGUGGGUGUCUCUGCCACGUGCGAGAGCAGACCCUGAAACAUCUGAAAGCAGCCAGCUUCCUGGAGCUGUGGGAGGCACAGGGAAUGGUUUCAGUUGUGUCCUGCUGUGCCGAGAGCCACUUCCAGCUGGUCUUGUCCUCGGUGAAGGAGUUCACGGGGACUUUGAAACACCAGAAGGUAAAGAGCCUGUGGUGGUGUUGUGGGGAGCUGCCGGGAGGUGUGCAGGGAGCUGCGCCACCGGUCGGGCAUGGGGCAGCUCUUGCCUCGGGAGCACGCAGAGUCCCGGGCAGAGUGGGCUGACGUCUCGGUGCUUCUCUGGCCAACCCCCAGCAGAGUGACAUGGUGAGGACUUGUGCUGCUUGUGCUGCGCUGUUGGUGACAUACGGCAGGAUGGUGCUGUGCACCCCCAGGGAGCAGCUGCUCGCCCAUGUUGCAAGAUACAUCGUGGGGAACGUCCUGCAGCUCUACUGAGAGGGUUGCCAGGUAGGUGCUCGGGGCACAGGGCAGAGCCGGCCGGGUGCCGCCAGCUCCGG